rnacentral:rRNA from 1 species
CCUACGGGGGGCUGCAGUUUCGAAUCAUUCACAAUGGGGGCAACCCUGAUGGUGCGACGCCGCGUGGAGGAAGAAGGUCUUCGGAUUGUAAACUCCUGUCAAGGGGGACUAAAAGCCGGGCUCAUACCCCGGCCUGCAUCAACCCCUAGAGGAAGCAGUGGCUAACUCUGUGCCAGCAGCCGCGGUAAUACAGAGACUGCAAGCGUUACUCGGAAUCACUGGGCGUAAAGGGAGCGCAGGCGGACCGAUGUGUCGGGUGUGAAACCCCGGGGCUC